GAUGAACGCUGGCGGCGUGCCUAAUACAUGCAAGUCGAGCGAACAGACGAGGAGCUUGCUCCUCUGACGUUAGCGGCGGACGGGUGAGUAACACGUGGAUAACCUACCUAUAAGACUGGGAUAACUUCGGGAAACCGGCGCUAAUACCGGAUAAUAUCUUGAACCGCAUGGUUCAAUAGUGAAAGACGGUUUUGCUGUCACUUAUAGAUGGAUCCGCGCCGCAUUAGCUAGUUGGUAAGGUAACGGCUUACCAAGGCAACGAUGCGUAGCCGACCUGAGAGGGUGAUCGGCCACACUGGAACUGAGACACGGUCCAGACUCCUACGGGAGGCAGCAGUAGGGAAUCUUCCGCAAUGGGCGAAAGCUUGACGGAGCAACGCCGCGUGAGUGAUGAAGGUCUUCGGAUCGUAAAACUCUGUUAUUAGGGAAGAACAAAUGUGUAAGUAACUAUGCACGUCUUGACGGUACCUAAUCAGAAAGCCACGGCUAACUACGUG
rnacentral:rRNA from 1 species